rnacentral:rRNA from 1 species
CUGGCGGCGCGCCUAACACAUAGCAAGUCGAACGGAGCUUGCACUCUGGAAGUUUCGGAUGGACGAGGUACAAGCUUAGUGGCGAACGGGUGAGUAACACGUGAAGAACCUGCCUUCAGUGGGGGACAACAGUUGGAAACGACUGCUAAUACCGCACUAAGACCACAGUACCGCAUGGUACAGUGAUCAAAGGAUUUAGUUCGCUGAAGGAUGGCUUCGCGUCCGAUUAGGUAGUUGGUGAGGUAACGGCCCACCAAGCCUACGAUCGGUAGCCGGACUGAGAGGUUGAUCGGCCACAUUGGGACUGAGACACGGCCCAGACUCCUACGGGAGGCAGCAGUGGGGAAUAUUGCACAAUGGAGGAAACUCUGAUGCAAGCGACGCCGCGUGAGGGAAGAAGGUCUUCGGAUUGUAAACCUCUGUCUUCAGGGACGAUAAUGACGGUACCUGAGGAGGAAGCACCAGCUAACUACGUGCCAGCCGCUGC